rnacentral:lncRNA from 1 species
UUUGGGUGAAAUUAGAGUCCUCGAAGAGUAUAAUCCCUUUUAGUUUAAAUAAUAAGGUCAUUGAAAUUCAGCAAAUAAAGUGCUCAAGGACCCAAAUACCUUGGGUGGUAAAAAGGUAUCCCGAGGACUUAUCCUGAAGAUGCCGCCACCUAAAUUUCGUAGAUGUAUGUCAUUAGUCCUCUGGUAUUAACCUAAGGACACCAUCAUACCCAAGAACUCUCUGACUAAUUUAUGUUUAGCCAGCAUAUAUGAGUUCUCAAGGUAGAACUCCUUGAGAGGCAUGCCAAUAAUGAACAUAACACUAGUCCCCUGUGUAUCCGUUCCUAAAUGCUCGAGAUUUUAGGAAAAGGUGCACAAUAUGUUGAGAAUAUUUUUUGAAUUAUAAGAGUGGUCGAGCAUUUAAUGAUGAUCGAUACACGUGCUAAUGAGAUUGCUUAAUUUAGAUGCUGAGUACUGGGGUAAAUAUAAGGUGAUAUGAAGAGGUCCCUCGGAUGUGUGACAUGGCAUGAUCCAACGGUCUAGAUGGUGACCUUUGGCCUUCCACUUCUAUGCCUAUAAAUACUCGUUUUAACUUUCAUUUUUCACUUUUCACUCACCGUAAUUCUUUCUCUACAAGGUCGAGCUAUACAAAUUCUUAAAAAAAAAUUCUUUCGGGAGUCGGGUAAUUUUAAGGUAAGGUUCGAGACCUUAAGUUAUUUCCUUAGUUUAGCGAUGUUGAGUAGUGAGAGUGACCGGGACUCUGAUAGCUUGAAUAGUAGUGAGAACUUAGGUAUCUCGAUCAUUCCAAUGCCAGUGCCUCUUGAUGCUCGACCUAGGUAUCAGAUCAAUGUCGAGUUCAAGUCUCCUAAUGAGGCUUGUAGAUUUAAGAAACACCUAGCGAUAGAGGCUGCUAGAGAGAUCAAGCUAAUGCCCAAUUGUUAUAUUAGGUCCCUCGGUCCCAAAGAUAGGAUGGUGCAAGCUCGAAAAUGAGAUUUUGUAAAUUUUCUGGACACUCUUAAGGCCGGGUUUAGGUGACCCUUGUACCCAUUCUUUAUAGGUCUGUUGAUUGUGCAUUCCAUGUGCCCGAGGUAGUUAGUACCCAAUGACUAGAGGUUGCUCAAUUAUUUUUUCAUAGCUUAUAGGUACUUGGACAUCACACCAUACAUCGACCUAUGUCGCAUGGUGUUCAAGCUCAAACAACUUCCACAAUUUACCCCACUUUGCUUAUCUUUUGACUCGAGGUGGGUUUAAGAUCCCGACCUUACCUAACUUGUUAAAGGGAUGGACAGAAAAAUGGUUCUAUGUAGUAGCCCGAGACCCCGACUUUUUCUUCUGGCCCAGGUGGGGUAUUUCGGACACUACUAAUUUCUAUGAGGGUCG